UUCUGUUCAUAACAGUAAAAUUCUAUCUAAAGAGAGUUGAGAGAGCGAGGAAGCCCGAUCACCCACAUCAACCAGUUUCUUUUGCAGAUCAAAGCUUAUGUGGGUUUGAAGCUCAAGAAUCAAUGGCUUGAAGUAUUUCGAUCCUUAAGUUAUAUAGUAUAUAUAUUUGUUUAUUCCGCAUUUUAUAUACACAUACAUAUAAAUAUAUAAAAUAUGAAUAUGCAUGUAUAAAGUGAUCAAAUAUUAUAUAUAUUAUUGAUCUCUAACAUAGUUCUCUCAAUAAUUGUCACUAUAUAUAAUAAAAUAAUUAUAUUUAAAAAUAAAUAUUAAGUGAAAAGAAAUAGAACAACUAGUUAGUAUAAUAUUACAUAUAUUUUUUAUGAAUUUACGACGCUCACGUCCGUUGUAUUUUUCUUCUUCCUAUAUAAUAAUUAUAUGGUGAAUGAUCUGAAGAGAAGAAGAAGUGAUAUAAGAUAUAUAUACUUAAAAAGAUAUGAGAUUGAAUUUUUGGUGUCUCCUUCUUGUCCUCCUGUACUUUUUUUGGAGUAGUGAAUGUGAUCAAGAGACAAGGAAUAAUGAUGUGAAAAGCAAUGACAAUAUUAUAAGUCUUCCUAGUGAGAAUCAUCAAGAUCCUCAUCAUCAUCAUCAUCAUCAUGGCUCUCAUGAUGAUCAUGAUCUUGACCGUUCAACUACACAAGCACAGUCACUUUUUAUCAACCUGAAUGACAUAAAAAAGGGGUUCACAAAACCUAUAUAUUUUCCAAAGAUGAAAAAACCUCAUAAAUCUCCUCCUUUUCAACAUGAGCAACAAUUAUUAGGAGCUCCAAAUUCGGUUCCUUUCUCCUUAAAACAACUUCCAAACCUUCUUAGGCUAUUCUCAGUCCCUCAAGGCUCACCACAAGCCAAAUCCAUGGAAUCCACUCUCCAAAUGUGUGAUGAUUUUAAUCCCAUCAAAGGAGAGAUUAGGAAGUGUGUUACUUCUUUUGACUCUAUGCUUGAUUUCGUACGUGGCAUCUUUGGAUUGGAUGGAUUUGGGCACGGGUUCACUUUUCUCACAACAACCUUUUACAAUGACUCGAAUACCGCCAUAUUCCAAAACUACACGGUUUUGGAUGAUCUCAGGGAGAUCCCUAUUCCUAAGAUGGUGGCAUGCCAUCUUAUGGAAUUUCCUUAUGCUGUUUACGGAUGUCAUAGCAUGGUUGGUGAUAGGAGGCUCUUUAAGAUGUCGUUGCGUGGUGAAAGGGGAGACAUAGUCGAAACCAUCGUCGUUUGUCACUUGGAUACCUCUGAGUGGGAACCCGAACAUAUUUCUUUUAAGGCGCUAGGGUUCGGGCCAGGGAUGGGUCCUGUUUGUCAUUUCUUCCCUGAUCAAACUAAUUUUGUAUGGAUUCCAUCCUCUAUUUCAGUCUAGCUAUAUAUGGCAUUAAAUUACUGAAAUAAUAUUAAUGGCAUUUACUAUUUGCAAUUUCUUUCUUGUAGUAUCGUUAAGUUGUGAUGUGAUGAAAUAAGCAUCAUAUUAUUGAUGUAUGUUAUCAUAUAAAAGAUUGUGUUUGGAAAUUCACGCUAAUUAAUAGGUUUUCUGGUGUUUGGAAAUGGAAAGUAAGUAUGUAAUUGAAACUAAGUAUUAUUAUUUUGCCUCA